rnacentral:rRNA from 1 species
UAACCUACCCAUCAGAGGGGGAUAACACUUGGAAACAGGUGCUAAUACCGCAUAACAGUUUAUGCCGCAUGGCAUAAGAGUGAAAGGCGCUUUCGGGUGUCGCUGAUGGAUGGACCCGCGGCGCAUUAGCUAGUUGGUGAGGUAACGGCUCACCAAGGCCACGAUGCAUAGCCGACCUGAGAGGGUGAUCGGCCACACUGGGACUGAGACACGGCCCAG